CGUGAGCGGCGGACGGGUGAGUAACGCGUGGGUAACCGUACCUCAUACAGGGGAGUAACAGUUGGAAACGGCUGCUAAUACCGCAUAAGCGCACAGUACCGCAUGGUACCGUGUGAAAAACUCCGGUGGUAUGAGAUGGACCCGCGUCUGAUUAGCUAGUUGGUGGGGUAACGGCCUACCAAGGCGACGAUCAGUAGCCGACCUGAGAGGGUGACCGGCCACAUUGGGACUGAGACACGGCCCAA
rnacentral:rRNA from 1 species